UUAAGUUAUUAAGGGCGCACGGUGGAUGCCUUGGCACUAGAAGCCGAUGAAGGACGUUACUAACGACGAUAUGCUUUGGGGAGCUGUAAGUAAGCUUUGAUCCAGAGAUUUCCGAAUGGGGAAACCCAGCAUGAGUUAUGUCAUGUUAUCGAUAUGUGAAUACAUAGCAUAUCAGAAGGCACACCCGGAGAACUGAAACAUCUUAGUACCCGGAGGAAGAGAAAGAAAAUUCGAUUCCCUUAGUAGCGGCGAGCGAAACGGGAAGAGCCCAAACCAACAAGCUUGCUUGUUGGGGUUGUAGGACACUCUAUACGGAGUUACAAAGGACGACAUUAGACGAAUCAUCUGGAAAGAUGAAUCAAAGAAGGUAAUAAUCCUGUAGUCGAAAAUGUUGUCUCUCUUGAGUGGAUCCUGAGUACGACGGAGCACGUGAAAUUCCGUCGGAAUCUGGGAGGACCAUCUCCUAAGGCUAAAUACUCUCUAGUGACCGAUAGUGAACCAGUACCGUGAGGGAAAGGUGAAAAGCACCCCGGAAGGGGAGUGAAAUAGAACCUGAAACCGUGUGCUUACAAGUAGUCAGAGCCCGUUAAUGGGUGAUGGCGUGCCUUUUGUAGAAUGAACCGGCGAGUUACGAUUUGAUGCAAGGUUAAGCAGUAAAUGUGGAGCCGUAGCGAAAGCGAGUCUGAAUAGGGCGUUUAGUAUUUGGUCGUAGACCCGAAACCAGGUGAUCUACCCUUGGUCAGGUUGAAGUUCAGGUAACACUGAAUGGAGGACCGAACCGACUUACGUUGAAAAGUGAGCGGAUGAACUGAGGGUAGCGGAGAAAUUCCAAUCGAACCUGGAGAUAGCUGGUUCUCUCCGAAAUAGCUUUAGGGCUAGCCUCAAGUGAUGAUUAUUGGAGGUAGAGCACUGUUUGGACGAGGGGCCCCUCUCGGGUUACCGAAUUCAGACAAACUCCGAAUGCCAAUUAAUUUAACUUGGGAGUCAGAACAUGGGUGAUAAGGUCCGUGUUCGAAAGGGAAACAGCCCAGACCACCAGCUAAGGUCCCAAAAUAUAUGUUAAGUGGAAAAGGAUGUGGCGUUGCCCAGACAACUAGGAUGUUGGCUUAGAAGCAGCCAUCAUUUAAAGAGUGCGUAAUAGCUCACUAGUCGAGUGACACUGCGCCGAAAAUGUACCGGGGCUAAACAUAUUACCGAAGCUGUGGAUUGUCCUUUGGACAAUGGUAGGAGAGCGUUCUAAGGGCGUUGAAGCAUGAUCGUAAGGACAUGUGGAGCGCUUAGAAGUGAGAAUGCCGGUGUGAGUAGCGAAAGACGGGUGAGAAUCCCGUCCACCGAUUGACUAAGGUUUCCAGAGGAAGGCUCGUCCGCUCUGGGUUAGUCGGGUCCUAAGCUGAGGCCGACAGGCGUAGGCGAUGGAUAACAGGUUGAUAUUCCUGUACCACCUAUAAUCGUUUUAAUCGAUGGGGGGACGCAGUAGGAUAGGCGAAGCGUGCGAUUGGAUUGCACGUCUAAGCAGUAAGGCUGAGUAUUAGGCAAAUCCGGUACUCAUUAAGGCUGAGCUGUGAUGGGGAGAAGACAUUGUGUCUUCGAGUCGUUGAUUUCACACUGCCGAGAAAAGCCUCUAGAUAGAAAAUAGGUGCCCGUACCGCAAACCGACACAGGUAGUCAAGAUGAGAAUUCUAAGGUGAGCGAGCGAACUCUCGUUAAGGAACUCGGCAAAAUGACCCCGUAACUUCGGGAGAAGGGGUGCUCUUUAGGGUUAACGCCCAGAAGAGCCGCAGUGAAUAGGCCCAAGCGACUGUUUAUCAAAAACACAGGUCUCUGCUAAACCGUAAGGUGAUGUAUAGGGGCUGACGCCUGCCCGGUGCUGGAAGGUUAAGAAGAGUGGUUAGCUUCUGCGAAGCUACGAAUCGAAGCCCCAGUAAACGGCGGCCGUAACUAUAACGGUCCUAAGGUAGCGAAAUUCCUUGUCGGGUAAGUUCCGACCCGCACGAAAGGCGUAACGAUUUGGGCACUGUCUCAACGAGAGACUCGGUGAAAUCAUAGUACCUGUGAAGAUGCAGGUUACCCGCGACAGGACGGAAAGACCCCGUGGAGCUUUACUGUAGCCUGAUAUUGAAAUUCGGCACAGCUUGUACAGGAUAGGUAGGAGCCUUUGAAACGUGAGCGCUAGCUUACGUGGAGGCGCUGGUGGGAUACUACCCUAGCUGUGUUGGCUUUCUAACCCGCACCACUUAUCGUGGUGGGAGACAGUGUCAGGCGGGCAGUUUGACUGGGGCGGUCGCCUCCUAAAAGGUAACGGAGGCGCUCAAAGGUUCCCUCAGAAUGGUUGGAAAUCAUUCAUAGAGUGUAAAGGCAUAAGGGAGCUUGACUGCGAGACCUACAAGUCGAGCAGGGUCGAAAGACGGACUUAGUGAUCCGGUGGUUCCGCAUGGAAGGGCCAUCGCUCAACGGAUAAAAGCUACCCCGGGGAUAACAGGCUUAUCUCCCCCAAGAGUUCACAUCGACGGGGAGGUUUGGCACCUCGAUGUCGGCUCAUCGCAUCCUGGGGCUGUAGUCGGUCCCAAGGGUUGGGCUGUUCGCCCAUUAAAGCGGUACGCGAGCUGGGUUCAGAACGUCGUGAGACAGUUCGGUCCCUAUCCGUCGUGGGCGUAGGAAAUU
rnacentral:rRNA from 1 species